CUGCAGCUUGCCGGCGCGGGCCGCCCACCAAGAGGAGGGCCAUUUCGGCCGGGCCCCGGGGGACUCCUCCCUCCGCGCCUCCCCACCCAGCCGCUGGCGAGGCCGCUGUGGCGAGUCCCCCGAAUCCCCGCCGUCCCGGUGCAGUAGCUCCGUUUGAGUCCCAGAUGGCCCCAUGAGGCGGUUGUCACUGCACCGCUGGCCACUGGGAGCAGGGCGGCGUGAGCCUAGGCAGCUGGCUGCAGAACGCCCUUCAGCCCUGGGCUCCAAUGCUGUCCCCAAAUCAUCCCUCCCCCAAACGCCUUAGGCAGGGACAGGCGCCCGGAGCUGAGAGCCCGAGGUUGCUCCACCCCAAGGGGUAGGAAGAGCAAGAAGAGGAGGGUGAUCUUAGCGCCCACUGAGUGCCCUGUGUCCCCCCCAGGGCUUCCUCAGCAGCCGCGGGUCCCACUCGGGUCCCACGCUUGGGAGGACACCGGCAUUUCAGCCGAUAGCAGCCUCGUUACACCACUCUUUUGAGCUGGGUGCCUUCCGUACCUUGUCCAACUCUGAGGAAGGUACUGCUGUCCUGGGUUAGGACCCGACAGGGUAAGGAACCUGCCAGAUGAGUGUUAAAGCUGAGAUCCAGAAAGCAUUGGGGAUUUUAAAAGCCCUGCAGAUUUUCUCAGGGGUGUAAAUAAAAGCAUUAAAAUGUGCUAAGUGGUUACAGAAACUCAUUUAUGCAUAAAUAUGAGUGAGACCCUGGAGUACACAGCAGUGUGUCAAAAGGCAUGACCGCCCUUUGCCGAAGCUGACAGUAAGUGGUGAGUGCCAUGGUGGAAAGAAAAUAAUGACCCAGGAGAGACUUUUAGGGUUACUUUAGAUAACAUGGUCCAGAAUGGCCCUUGUCAGAUAUUAGUGCUGAUGUUGCUGCUUUAUGAAGACUUGAAGGUAGUGUACUCUAGGUAUGCUAGAGGGUGUGGUGACUGUAAAGGCUGUGAAAUGAGAAUUAGAUAAAGCCCCUCUUUUCAUGGAGUUUGCCAGUUGAGUACCAUAGAGGUUAACAUCAUGUAGGCUGAAGAGUGGCCUCCCAAAAUUCAUACAGUGAAGUCCUAGCCCCCAGUACCUCAGAAUGUGACUGUAUUUGGAGAUAAUGGCCUUUAAAAAAGUGAUUAAGUUUAAAUGAGGUGCGAAUGGUGGAUCCUAACCCAAUUGACUGGUAUCUUUGAUAGGUUCAAACCCAGGGCCUUAUGCAUGCUAGGCAAGUGCCCUACCAAUGAGCUACAUCCCCGGCCCCAGUGUCCUUAUAAGAAGAGAAAAUUUAAACACCCAGAUGCCAGAGGAAUGUGUGAAUAAAGGAAAGGCCUUCUUCAAGCCAAGGAGAGAGAUUAGGAGAAGCCAGACCUAUCAACACCUUGGUCUUAACUGUGAGAAAAUGGAUAAAAGGCACCCAGUCUGUAGAAUUUUGUUAUGGUGAUCCUAGUAAACUAAUACACCACAUAAUUAGCUAUAGAUUACAGUUAGGAGAAAAGCAUGAAGUUCAUGAGAUGGUAUGACAAAGGUACCUAAACCAUUUUGGCCUGGAAAAGAAGUCUCCUAAAUGGUGUGAACUUUAAGCUGAGAUUGGAAAGAAGAGGAGUUAGCUGGCUGGAAUAAUCUAGUUGUUCCCAUUCAUGUGCUGUGAUGAUACCAUCCAUUCACUGAACUCUACAUCUUGUAAAACUGAAACUCUGUACCUAUUAUAGAGUAACCCUUCAACCUCUUUCAACCACUGUUUUGCCAUCUUAAUUUGGCUCCUGAUAGGAUUUUGAAGGAAGUGCUGUGGGAGCACAGGUGGAAGAAGGAGCUCAGUUUGUCAUCUGUAUCCAGGAAACCAGGAGGUGACUGUGAGCCAGAUUUUGAAGGAUGAGCACGUGUUUUGCUGGCUUAAGAAGAGGAAAACAGCAUUCCUGGCAUAUACAAGAGCACAUGUACAGCCAGCUAAGGAUGCACCACGCCUUCCCUGCGCACUUUUGCUGUUGUCAGUCUAUUUGAAUACUGGAUUUUGAUUUGUUUUCCUGAGACACUGAUGUUAUCAUGUCACUCCUUGACUCCAAAAUUUACAACAUCUGCUGUUGUCAGUUAGAUAAAGGUCAAAUUCUUCAACUUGCCACUCAGAAUUCUAUAUUUUUAUUUCACUAUGAAAAUACUGAAAGUGAAUCCCCAAAGUCUCUUUCUACCUUUUAAAAUGUAAUAAACGAAAAGUGAUUUAAGAGUAAUAGUGUAAUUUUAACUUUGAAUUAAACUCCCUGACAGGGAAGAUAACUCCUUGAUCUCCCCAUGCUACUGAAUUAUAGAACACAGAGGAUAGUUGUCACACUCAAUAAUGUGUUAGCCUGUUGUAGGUACACAGCAAAGGAAACAUUGUUUUGGAGUAAGAAAUAUUUUGGAUAGGUCUCCUCACAGUUCUAAGUCAUUCCAUAGUGGAAUUUGUUGGAAGUGUGAGAGCCUCCAAUUCCAGUCAAGAGAGGGUUCCAUGUAGCUACACAAUAGAAUAGACCUGGUCACAUAUAGCCACAUAGCACUUGAAAUGUGGCUAGUCAGCUGAGGAACUGAAUAUUUUUAGCUAAUUUAAGUUUAAAAUAUAAAAUGGUUUUCUGUAUUCAUAGCUUUAUUGUUUUGGAAGGACUACAUUUCACUUUAACCUUUGAAAAUUUAGCAUCUGACUUGAGAUGUAUACUGAGUGUAAACAACAUUACCACAUUUCAAAAACUUAGGCUGAAAAAAGUAAAAUUUCUCAGUGUAUUUUCAUAGUGAUUACAUAUUGAAAUAAUAGUUUGGAUAUUUUGGUUUAAAUAAAACAGUGUUAA
rnacentral:lncRNA from 1 species